GUGGGAGGGGGCUUGCUCCCGAUGGCGGUGGUCAGUCACUUAUGUAUUAACUGACCCACCGCCAUCGGGAGCAAGCCCCCUCCCAC
rnacentral:misc_RNA from 1 species